CCUACGGGGGGCAGCAGUGGGGAAUAUUGCGCAAUGGGGGCAACCCUGACGCAGCAACGCCGCGUGAUUGAAGAAGGCCUAUGGAUUGUAAACCUCUUUAGGCGGGGAGCAAUGCCGGGCACGCGUGCCCGGAGGGAGAGUACCCGCAGAAUAAGCAUCGGCUAACUCCGUGCCAGCGGCCGCGGUAAUACGGAGGAUGCGAGCGUUAUCCGGAUUUAUUGGGUUUAAAGGGUGCGUAGGCGGAUUUUUAAGUCAGCGGUAAAAUGUCCGGGCUCAACCCGGGCCGGCCGUUGAAACUGGGGAUC
rnacentral:rRNA from 1 species